GCCAGCAUGGUGUAAUGGCUUGAAUGUUGGAUUAGGACUCUGGAGACCAGGGUUUGAAUCCCUGCUCAGCCA
rnacentral:tRNA from 1 species